AACGAACGCUGGCGGCAGGUUUAAUACAUGCAAGUCGAGCGCUGUAGCAAUACAGAGCGGCAGACGGGUGAGUAACGCGUGGGAAUGUGCCCUUUGGUCAGGAAUAACACAGGGAAACUUGUGCUAAUACCAGAUAAGCCCGAAAGGGGAAAGAUUUAUCGCGAAAGGAUCAGCCCGCGUUGGAUUAGCUAGUUGGUGAGGUAAUGGCUCACCAAGGCUACGAUCUAUAGCUGAUCUGAGAGGAUGAGCAGCCACACUGGGGCUGAGACACGGCCCAGACUCCUACGGGAGGCAGCAGUAGGGAAUAUUGGACAAUGGGGGAAACCCUGAUCCAGCCAUGCCGCGUGAGUGAUGAAGGCCUUAGGGUUGUAAAGCUCUUUUACCUGGGAAGAUAAUGACUGUACCAGGAGAAUAAGCCCCGGCUAACUUCGUGCCAGCAGCCGCCGUAA
rnacentral:rRNA from 1 species